rnacentral:rRNA from 1 species
AAAUUGAAGAGUUUGAUCAUGGCUCAGAUUGAACGCUGGCGGCAGGCCUAACACAUGCAAGUCGAACGGUAACAGGAAUCAGCUUGCUGAUUCGCUGACGAGUGGCGGACGGGUGAGUAAUGUCUGGGAAACUGCCUGAUGGAGGGGGAUAACUACUGGAAACGGUAGCUAAUACCGCAUAAUGUCGCAAGACCAAAGAGGGGGACCUUCGGGCCUCUUGCCAUCGGAUGUGCCCAGAUGGGAUUAGCUAGUAGGUGGGGUAACGGCUCACCUAGGCGACGAUCCCUAGCUGGUCUGAGAGGAUGACCAG